GACGAACGCUGGCGGCGUGCUUAACACAUGCAAGUCGAACGGGCCUGUCUUCUUUUUUGGGGGGUGGGUUGAGUGGCGAACGGGUGAGUAUCACGUGAGUAACCUGCCCUUCGGUCCUGGAUAACCGCUUGAAAGGGCGGCUAAUACGGGGUGGUCCGGUUGGUCCGCAUGGGCUGGUCGGGAUAGAUUCACUGUUUUUGGUGUUUCGGCGGGGGAUGGGCUCGCGGCCUAUCAGCUUGUUGGUGGGGUGAUGGCCUACCAAGGCGGUGACGGGUAGCCGGCCGGAGAGGGGGGGCGGCCACACUGGGACUGAGAUACGGCCCAGACUCCUGCGGGAGGCAGCAGUGGGGGGUAUUGCACAAUGGGCGGAAGCCUGAUGCAGCGACGUCGCGUGAGGGAUGGAGGCCUUCGGGUUGUGAACCUCUGUUUCCGGUGGUGAAGGCCCUGUCCGUGUGGUGGGGUUGACGGUAGCCGGGGAUGAAGCGCCGGCUAACUACGUG
rnacentral:rRNA from 1 species